UUCCAGACUCCUACGGGAGGCAGCAGUGGGGAAUAUUGCACAAUGGGGGAAACCCUGAUGCAGCGACGCCGCGUGAAGGAAGAAGUAUUUCGGUAUGUAAACUUCUAUCAGCAGGGAAGAAGAUGACGGUACCUGACUAAGAAGCCCCGGCUAACUACGUGCCAGCAGCCGCGGUAAUACGUAGGGGGCAAGCGUUAUCCGGAUUUACUGGGUGUAAAGGGAGCGUAGACGGCGAUGCAAGCCAGAUGUGAAAGCCCGGGGCUCAACCCCGGGACUGCAUUUGGAACUGUGUGGCUGGAGUGUCGGAGAGGCAGGCGGAAUUCCUAGUGUAGCGGUGAAAUGCGUAGAUAUUAGGAGGAACACCAGUGGCGAAGGCGGCCUGCUGGACGAUGACUGACGUUGAGGCUCGAAAGCGUGGGGAGCAAACAGGAUUAGAUACCCGAGUACCU
rnacentral:rRNA from 1 species